UUAUUUGAGAGUUUGAUCCUGGCUCAGGAUGAACGCUGGCGGCGUGCCUAACACAUGCAAGUUGAGCGAUUUACUUCGGUAAAGAGCGGCGGACGGGUGAGUAACGCGUGGGUAACCUACCCUGUACACACGGAUAACAUACCGAAAGGUAUGCUAAUACGGGAUAAUAUAUUUGAGAGGCAUCUCUUAAAUAUCAAAGGUGAGCCAGUACAGGAUGGACCCGCGUCUGAUUAGC
rnacentral:rRNA from 1 species